rnacentral:tRNA from 1 species
AGAAACUUAGGUUAACUUUAAACCGAAGGCCUUCAAAGCCUUAAAUAGGGGACCGACCCCUAGCUUCUG